UAUUGGUCAAUGGGCGAGAGCCUGAACCAGCCAAGUAGCGUGAAGGAUGAAGGUCCUACGGAUUGUAAACUUCUUUUAUAAGGGAAUAAAACGCUCCACGUGUGGAGCCUUGUAUGUACCCUAUGAAUAACCAUCGGCUAACUCCGUGCCAGCAGCCGCGGUAAUACGGAGGAUGCGAGCGUUAUCCGGAUUUAUUGGGUUUAAAGGGAGCGCAGACGGGAUGUUAAGUCAGUUGUGAAAGUUUGCGGCUCAACCGUAAAAUUGCAGUUGAUACUGGCGUUCUUGAGUGCAGUUGAGGUGUGCGGAAUUCGUGGUGUAGCGGUGAAAUGCUUAGAUAUCACGAAGAACUCCGAUUGCGAAGGCAGCUCGCUAAACUGUAACUGACGUUCAUGCUCGAAAGUGUGGGUAUCAAACAGGA
rnacentral:rRNA from 1 species